GGCGAGGUAGCUCAGGCGGUUAGNNNNAGAGCGCAGGAUUCAUAACCCUGAGGUCGGCGGUUCAAUUCCGCCUCUCGCUA
rnacentral:tRNA from 1 species